UCUUUGGUGAUCUAGCCGUGUG
rnacentral:miRNA from 1 species